rnacentral:rRNA from 1 species
ACGAACGCUGGCGGCGUGCCUAAUACAUGCCAGUAGAACGCUGAAGAGAGGAGCUUGCUCUUCUUGGAUGAGUUGCGAACGGGUGAGUAACGCGUAGGUAACCUGCCUUGUAGCGGGGGAUAACUAUUGGAAACGAUAGCUAAUACCGCAUAACAAUGGAUGACACAUGUCAUUUAUUUGAAAGGGGCAAUUGCUCCACUACAAGAUGGACCUGCGUUGUAUUAGCUAGUAGGUGAGGUAACGGCUCACCUAGGCGACGAUACAUAGCCGACCUGAGAGGGUGAUCGGCCACACUGGGACUGAGACACGGCCCAGACUCCUACGGGAGGCAGCAGUAGGGAAUCUUCGGCAAUGGGGGCAACCCUGACCGAGCAACGCCGCGUGAGUGAAGAAGGUUUUCGGAUCGUAAAGCUCUGUUGUAAGUCAAGAACGAGUGUGAGAGUGGAAAGUUCACACUGUGACGGUAGCUUACCAGAAAGGGACGGCUAACUACGUG